UUUGAUGGCGACCGGCGAACGGGUGCGUAAUGCGUAUGCAACUUACCUUUUACUAGAGAAUAGCCAAGAGAAAUUUUGAUUAAUGCUCUAUACUCUUAAUAACUCACAUGAGUUUAUAAGAAAAGCUCCGGCGGUAAAAGAUGGGCAUGCGUCCUAUUAGCUUGUAGGUGAGGUAACGGCUCACCUAAGCUCCGAUAGGUAGGGGUCCUGAGAGGGAGAUCCCCCACACUGGUACUGAGACACGGACCAGACUUCUACGGAAGGCAGCAGUAAGGAAUAUUGGACAAUGGAGGAAACUCUGAUCCAGCCAUGCCGCGUGAAGGAAGACGGCCUUAUGGGUUGUAAACUUCUUUUAUACAGGAAGAAACCUUUCCACGUGUGGAAAGCUGACGGUACUGUAAGAAUAAGGAUCGGCUAACUCCGUGCCAGCAGCCGCGGUAAUACGGAGGAUCCAAGCGUUAUCCGGAAUUAUUGGGUUUAAAGGGUCCGC
rnacentral:rRNA from 1 species